UACAGGGGGUGCAAACGUUGCUCGGAAUCAUUGGGCGUAAAGCGCACGUAGGCGGUCUGUUAUGUCGGAUGUGAAAGCCCUUGGCUUAACUGAGGAAGUGCAUCCGAAACUGGCAGGCUAGAGUACUAAAGAGGGUCGCGGAAUUCCCGGUGUAGUGGUGAAAUGCGUAGAUAUCGGGAGGAACACCAGUGGCGAAGGCGACUACCUGGCCUGUUUCUUGACGCUGAGGCGCGAAAAGCUAGGGGAGCAAACGGGG
rnacentral:rRNA from 1 species